rnacentral:lncRNA from 1 species
CUCCAGUAUUUAUGCUGCAGUAGUUUAUGUGUCGGGGGGGCUAGGGUCAGUCUGUUACAUCUGGAGUAUUUCUCUUGUCUUAUCCGGUGUCCUGUGUGAAUUUAAAUAUGCUCUCUCUAAUUCUCUCUCUCUCUUUCUCUCUUUCUGUCUUUCUCUCGGAGGACCUGAGCCCUAGGACAUGCCUCAGGACUACCUGGUAUGAUGACUCCUUGCUGUCCCCAGUCCACCUGGCCGUGCUGCUGCUCCAGUUUCAACUGUUCUGCCUGCGGCUAUGGAACCCUGACCUGUUCACCGGACGUGCUUGUUGCACCCUCGACAACUUCUAUGAUUAUUAUUAUUUGACCAUGUUGGUCAUUUAUGAACAUUUUAACAUCUUGACCAUGUUCUGUUAUAAUAUCCACCCUGCACAGCCAGAAGAGGACUGGCCACCCCUCAUAGCCUGGUUCCUCUCUAGGUUUCUUCCUAGGUUUUUGGCCUUUCUAGGGAGUUUUUCCUAGGGAGUUUUUCCUAGCCACCGUGCUUCUUUCACAUGCAUUGCUUGCUGUUUGGGGUUUUAGGCUGGGUUUCUAUACAGCACUUUGACAUAUCAGCUGAUGUACGAAGGGCUAUAUAAAUAAAUUUGAUUUGAUUUGAGUUGUUGUUGCCAUCCUGUACCUGUCCCACAGGUGCUGAGAGAGGCUGGACUGAGGGCUGUAGGCCUGUUGUAAGGCAGGUCCUCACCAGACAUCACCGGCAACAUCGCCUAUGGGUACAAACCCACCAUCGCUGGACCAGACAGGACUGACGACAAGUGCUCUUCACUGAUGAGUCGCGGUUUUGUCUCACCAGGGCUGAUGGUCGGAUUCACGUUUAUCGUCAAAGGAAUCAGCGUUACACCGAGGCCUGUACUCUGGAGCGGGAUUGAGGUGGAGAGUUCAUCAUGGUCUGGAGCGGUGUGUCACAGCAUCAUCGGACUGAGCUUGUUGUCAUUGCAGGCAAUCUCAAAGUUGUGCGUUACAGGCAAGACAUCCUCCUCCCUCAUGUGGUACCCUUCCUGCAGGCUCUUCCUGACAUGACCCUCCAGCAUGACAAUGCCACCAGCCAAGCUGCUCGUUCUGUGUGUGAUUUCUUGCAAGACAGGAAUGUCAGUGUUCUGCCAGGGCCAGCGAAGAGCCCGGAUCUCAAUCCCAUUGAGCACGUCUGGAACCUGUUGGCCCCCCAGAAAUGUCCGGGAACUUGCAGGUGCCUUGGUAGAAGAGUGGGGUAACAGCUCACAGCAAGAACUGGCAAAUACUGACUGUUACAGGCCCCUGCGGAACAGGCCCCUGCGGAACAGGCCCAGGGGCUGGGCAGACACUUUCAUUAUACAAAUAUGGGUUGUUUCCAAAUAUUGACUAAAUGUCUCAUUGUCUCCUUGGUUGCACUUCUGAAUUUUAGAAAAAUCAACCUGUCUUAGUCUUAAUAUCCAGAUUAUUCCAUAGCUUCUUAAAUUAAUCUCAAUACCCUGAAUGAUCCUGGAUCACCUACAUAUGUCAUAUAUAUUCCUGUCCUGUUGGCUUAGAAUAUAUCCUUCUAAAUACUUGACAUAAGUCUACCAUUAUUAAACUUAGUCAACAACAAAAUAUAAUAAUACUAUUAUAUCAAUUCCACAGCCUUGUUGUGUUAAAUCUCUUCCACUGAAUACAACCACAGCUGACUUCCUAAGGGAAAAUACUUAUCUAGAUAAUGUAAAAAAUACCCCUACUACUGGUCAAAAUAUUUUCAAAUAACAUAAUCAGAUCAAAAUGACUAAUCUGAAUUACUCCACCAAGAAAAAUUAUUGUACCAUGAUCCUCAUUCUGUCUUCUCAUUGGUUAAAAUGACCAAUUGUCUAAGAACUUUAACUCCAUCAUAAUUAUCAGUUCUACAAAUUUCCUUAAGGGGCUACAGGUUAGCAAUGAACCCCGAGUCGGGAUUGCUAACAAGGCUGGAAAUUCAAAACAUCAAAAAUCGAAUAAUUUCAAUUUCUCAAACAAUCAACUAUUUUACACAAUUUAAAAGAUAAACAUCUCCUUAAUCUAACCACAUUGUUCGAUUUUCAAAGAGGCUUUACGGCAAAAGCAUAAAGUUAGAUUAUGUUAGGACAGUACAUAGCCACAAAAGUACAAACAUCCAUUUUCAAUUCAAGGUCAGGCGUCACCAAAAGCAGUAACCAGCUAGAAUUAUGCACUAACCUUUGUCAAUCUCCAUCAGAUGACACUCCUAGGACAUUAUGUUAUACAAUACAUGCAUUUUUUGUUCCAUCAAGUUCAUAUUUAUAUCCAAAAACAGCAUUUUACAGUAGCGUGAAAUUCAGAUUUUUUUCUUCUCUGAAAUGCUUCCGGUGAACAUAACAAAAUUACUAUUCGAAAACAUUGGUAAAUUAUAAUAUUGUCAUUCAAAGAAUAAUAUAUUAUCAUCAUGUUGCUAGGGACUCUUUUUGGAAGAAGCUAGCUAGCUAACGAAGAACAACAAAGAAUAUCUAGUUAACAGAAGAAAAGAAAGAGAAAAUCAG